GAUAAGGAAAGUAGGAAAGGGCGCAUGGCGGAUGCCUUGGCUCUCGGAGGCGAUGAAGGACGUGAUAAGCUGCGAUAAGUCACGGGGAGGUGCAAAUAACCUUUGAUCCGUGAAU
rnacentral:rRNA from 1 species